rnacentral:rRNA from 1 species
CUUAACCGCAGAAGUGCCUUUGAAACUGUUGCUCUUGAGUCCUGGAGAGGUUGCCGGAAUUCGUGGUGUAGCGGUGAAAUGCGUAGAUAUCACGAGGAACACCAGAGGCGAAAGCGGGCAACUGGACAGGUACUGACGCUGAGGCAUGAGAGCGUGGGGAGCAAACAGGAUUAGAUACCCUGGUAGUCCGCGCCGUAAACGAUGGAUGCUCGCCGUUGUCUCGUUAAGGGACAGUGGCUAAGUUAACGCGUUAAGCAUCCCGCCUGGGGAGUACGAUCGCAAGGUUGAAACUCAAAGGAAUUGACGGGGGCCCGCACAAGCGGUGGAGCAUGUGGCUCAAUUCGAUGCAACGCGAAGAACCUUACCUAGGCUCGAACGCUAAGUGCCCGCUCCUGAAAGGGAGCUUUCCGCAAGGACGC